UACGUGCCAGCAGCCGCGGUAAUACGUAGGUCCCGAGCGUUGUCCGGAUUUAUUGGGCGUAAAGCGAGCGCAGGCGGUUAGAUAAGUCUGAAGUUAAAGGCUGUGGCUUAACCAUAGUACGCUUUGGAAACUGUUUAACUUGAGUGCAAGAGGGGAGAGUGGAAUUCCAUGUGUAGCGGUGGAAUGCGCAGAUAUCAGGAAGAACACCGGUGGCGAAGGCGGGUCUCUGGGCCGUUACUGACGCUGAGGAGCGAAAGCGUGGGGAGCGAACAGGAUUAGAUACCCUGGUAGUCCACGCUGUAAACGUUGGGCACUAGGUGUGGGGGCCACCCGUGGUUUCUGCGCCGUAGCUAACGCUUUAAGUGCCCCGCCUGGGGAGUACGGCCGCAAGGCUAAAACUCAAAGGAAUUGACGGGGGCCCGCACAAGCGGCGGAGCAUGCGGAUUAAUUCGAUGCAACGCGAAGAACCUUACCAAGGCUUGACAUGC
rnacentral:rRNA from 1 species